CGGAAGAGAUAAGUGCUGAAAGCAUCUAAGCACGAAACUUGCCCCGAGAUGAGUUCUCCCUGAGACUUAGAGUCUCCUGAAGGAACGUUGAAGACGACGACGUUGAUAGGCCGGGUGUGUAAGCGCAGCGAUGCGUUGAGCUAACCGGUACUAAUGAACCGUGAGGCUUAACCUUACAACGCCGAAG
rnacentral:rRNA from 7 species